rnacentral:piRNA from 1 species
GUCCAACAUUUCAGCAGCUAAUUGUUGG